UUUUCUCGGUCGGUUCUUCUCUCCAGUUCCGCCUCCAUCAAAACCCAAAGAUGCAAAAUUCUUCCGAACAAGAAGAAGAAGAUCUAAUCAGUUGGAGCUAGAUCCAAUUGGUCUUAUGUUUCAUUGAAGCCUUCAACUGUGAUAGUGAUUCUUGAGUUGAAGGUCAGAGAAGACUAAUAGCGCAUUGCAUCAAGUGGACUUUUAGGAAUUUUGUCGUUCUUGCUUGGUUCAGGUGGAUUUUGGCAAUUCCCGUCUGUAAUGCAGUUAAGCUACUGAUUUUCUAGGUUAUAGCAACAACAAGAUAAGUUGCUCUUGGAUUUUACUUUGAGCACUCUUAAAGUAGCUUUGAAUUGUGGAUGGAGAUUGAUUAAUGAAGUUUAUGAUAAAUGAAUGUGUUGUGCAGUUUUUUUGAGCUAUUCAAAUUGUUACAAUAAAGAGGUGAUGAUGAACAUAAAUUGAACUGGGUAUAAGAAACAAGGAGCAACAUUCAAGUCUAAUGGCAAUACAAACAUUACACCAAACCAAAUGAGGCCAUUUAAGGAGUACUGCUUGUUGAAUGUUCUGAAAUCUGAUGCAACACCAAAUGGGUAUUCUACCAGUAGAUCACUAGAGGAUAUUCUUCUGUUGGAUCCCAAAAAUGCACCUCUGGUUCCACCACUAAAUCUCAGUACGAAGGGCGAAGUGGUUUAUUGUGUUGAUGGUUCCCAUCAGGUCAGCAAUCUUCUGCAGCAAGCUCUCCUCCUCAUGGGCGUCCUGUACCAGUUCUGUAACAAGAGCCACAGUUAACCAAAGCUCACCAUUUUUAUGAAAUGCAUGGAUGAAACUGAAGGGUUGUCAGUAGAUACCUUAUUUAUUAACCACGAGUUGUACCAACAGUGAUCUUCCCAUUUUGGUUUCUGCUAGUUUUAGUUGAUAGAAACUGCCAGUUUUGCCGUUUGAAGCGUGACUCAAAAUGGCUGACUUGGCUGAAACAAAUGUUGGCAUUUUCGUUUUGAUGUUUUUUUCUUCUUUCUUACUCUAUAAGAAUAAUUACCUCAACAUAACUUAGUUACUUAUGUGCUUUACUAUGUUCAGUGCGCACUCCUCAAAUUGAUGGGAAGGAGAUAUUCCGCCAAGCCAGGAGUACUUUGUCUUAUGAGCAGUUCAGUGCAUUUCUUUCCAACAUCAAGGAGCUGAACUGUCAAAAUCAAACUCGAUAGGAAACGUUAAGGAAGGCAGAAUAAUUAUUUGGUACAAACAUGAGACAACGAAGAUCAUUACUUAUCACUCCAAGGGAUGCUUAUUCGUAACAACCAUUAGGACUUAAAGGUGUAUUCCAAACAUGGUGCAUCAUAAUAGAAGCCAAAGAAACCAAACUGGCACCUUCUAAUAAUUGAAAAGGUUGGAAAUUUGGGAUACGAAGAGAUUGAAUGGGAGUAAAAGAGAAGUUGUUGCUAGUCACUGGGUACACCAUUCUCUCUAUCAUGUUACAUGAUCUGAUACCAUUAGUUGUUACCCCCAACCGUCCUAGCCGCCAUCUAGUGUAUAUCUGUUGGUUCAUGUAUGCUGUGUAACCUUUACAGUGGAUUACAAGUUUAACUAAAUGGAAGAUGGCCGGUUUUUUCCAAAUUGUGUCAGCAUCCUAAUUUUGUGAAUACUUGCAUUGUCAUUUGUAUAUUUUGGUUUGGAAUACAGUGGAUAUGAAUCUGACACGUUUGGAAUUUGA